CACGUAGUUAGCCGGUGCUUCUUCUGCAGGUACCGUCACUUGCGCUUCGUCCCUGCUGAAAGAGGUUUACAACCCGAAGGCCGUCGUCCCUCACGCGGCGUCGCUGCAUCAGGCUUUCGCCCAUUGUGCAAUAUUCCCCACUGCUGCCUCCCGUAGGAGUCUGGGCCGUGUCUCAGUCCCAGUGUGGCCGGUCACCCUCUCAGGCCGGCUACCCGUCGUCGCCUUGGUAGGCCAUUACCCCACCAACAAGCUGAUAGGCCGCGGGUCCAUCCUGUACCGCCGGAACUUUCCAACCAACCCCAUGCGGGGAAGGCUCGUAUCCGGUAUUAGACCUAGUUUCCCAGGCUUAUCCCAGAGUACAGGGCAGGUUACCCACGUGUUACUCACCCGUUCGCCGCUCGUGUACCCCGAAGGGCCUUACCGCUCGACUUGCAUGUGUUAAGCACGCCGCCAGCGUUCGUCCUGAGCCAGGAUCAAACUCU
rnacentral:rRNA from 1 species